rnacentral:rRNA from 1 species
UACAUCAGCGGCGAACGGGUGAGUAACACGUGGGUGACUUGCCCCGAAGAUGGGGAUAACCUCUGGAAACGGGGGCUAAUACCCAAUGUGCUCGGUGAUUCGGUUCAUCGAGUAAAGCUCCGGCGCUUCGGGAGAGGCCUGCGGCCCAUCAGCUAGUUGGUAGGGUAACGGCCUACCAAGGCAGAGACGGGUAGGGGGCGUGAGAGCGCGGACCCCCACACUGGCACUGAGAUACGGGCCAGACUCCUACGGGAGGCAGCAGUAAGGGAUAUUGCGCAAUGGACGAAAGUCAGACGCAGCGACGCCGCGUGGGCGAUGAAGGCCUUCGGGUUGUAAAGCCCUUUUAUGGGGGAAGAGAAAAAGGACGGUACCCCAGGAAUAAGUCCCGGCUAACUACGUGCCAGCAGCCGCGGUAAAACGUAGGGGACAAGCGUUAUCCGGAUUCACUGGGCGUAAAGAGCGUUGAGGCGGUUCCGUAAGUUGGGCGUGAAAGCUCCGGGCUUAACUCGGAGAUGUCGUUCAAUACUGCGGGGCUUGAGGACAGCAGAGGAAGGUGGAAUUCCCGGUGUAGUGGUGAAAUGCGUAGAUAUCGGGAGGAACACCCGUGGCGAAGGCGGCCUUCUGGGCUGUUCCUGACGCUGAAGGCGAAAGCUAGGGGAGCGAACGGGAUUAGAUACCCCGGUAGUCCUAGCUGUAAACGAUGGAUGCUGGAUGUGGGGGGUGUAAAUUCCCUCUGUGCCGAAGCAAACGCGUUAAGCAUCCCGCCUGGGGACUACGGCCGCAAGGCUAAAACUCAAACGAAUUGACGGGGGCCCGCACAAGCAGCGGAGCGUGUGGUUUAAUUCGAUGCUACACGAAGAACCUUACCUGGGUUUGACAUGCACGUGGUAGGGAACCGAAAGGGGACCGACCUUCGGGAGCGUGCACAGGUGCUGCAUGGCUGUCGUCAGCUCGUGCCGUGAGGUGUCGGGUUAAGUCCCGUAACGAGCGCAACCCUUGCCCUUAGUUACAAGUGUCUAAGGGGACUGCCCGGGACAACUGGGAGGAAGGUGGGGAUGACGUCAAGUCAGCAUGGCCUUUAUAUCCAGGGCUACACACACGCUACAAUGGCCGGUACAAUAGGUUGCGAAGUCGUGAGGCGGAGCC